rnacentral:rRNA from 1 species
UGCAAGUCGAACGGUAGCACAGAGGAGCUUGCUCCUUGGGUGACGAGUGGCGGACGGGUGAGUAAUGUCUGGGAAACUGCCCGAUGGAGGGGGAUAACUACUGGAAACGGUAGCUAAUACCGCAUAACGUCGCAAGACCAAAGAGGGGGACCUUCGGGCCUCUUGCCAUCGGAUGUGCCCAGAUGGGAUUAGCUAGUAGGUGGGGUAACGGCUCACCUAGGCGACGAUCCCUAGCUGGUCUGAGAGGAUGACCAGCCACACUGGAACUGAGACACGGUCCAGACUCCUACGGGAGGCAGCAGUGGGGAAUAUUGCACAAUGGGCGCAAGCCUGAUGCAGCCAUGCCGCGUGUAUGAAGAAGGCCUUCGGGUUGUAAAGUACUUUCAGCGAGGAGGAAGGUGUUGUGGUUAAUAACCGCAGCAAUUGACGUUACUCGCAGAAGAAGCACCGGCUAACUCCGUGCCAGCAGCCGCGGUAAUACGGAGGGUGCAAGCGUUAAUCGGAAUUACUGGGCGUAAAGCGCACGCAGGCGGUCUGUCAAGUCGGAUGUGAAAUCCCCGGGCUCAACCUGGGAACUG